rnacentral:misc_RNA from 1 species
AACAUCGCGCACCUGCGGGAACCUGCGGAAGGAUCAUUACAGAGUUGCAAGACUCCCUAAACCAUUGUGAACCUACCUUCUACCGUUGCUUCGGCGGGCGGGCCCAGCGCCCCCCCGGCCCCCCGCGGGCGCCCGCCGGAGGAUACCCAAACUCUUGACAUUAGUGGCCUCUCUGAGUAUUCUUUACUGAAUAAGUCAAAACUUUUAACAACGGAUCU